UACGUAGGGUGCAAGCGUUGUCCGGAAUUAUUGGGCGUAAAGAGCUCGUAGGCGGCCUGUCGCGUCGGCUGUGAAAACCUGGGGCUCAACCCCGGGCCUGCAGCCGAUACGGGCAGGCUAGAAUUCGGUAGGGGAGACUGGAAUUCCUGGUGUAGCGGUGAAAUGCGUAGAUAUCGGGAAGAACACCAAAGGCGAAAGCACUUUGCUGGGCCGAAACUGACACUGAUAGACGAAAGCUAGGGGAGCAAAUGGG
rnacentral:rRNA from 1 species